rfam:Sporosarcina psychrophila strain DSM 6497, complete genome.
GAAUUUAGGUAAUCGCUGCAACAUCCUAUGUUGUAGAGGAAAGUCCAUGCUCACACGGAUCUGAGAUGACCGUAGUGUUCGUGCUCGGCGAAAGAAUAAGCCGUGGCUUCGCGUAUAACGCGUUGACGGCGGGAAUAAAUCCUAAGUCUUCGGAUAUGGAUGAGGUUCCCUGAACAGUGCCACAGUGACGUAGCUGUCUCGGAAACGGGGCAGAUGGAACGCGGUAAACCCCACGAGUGAGAAACCCAAACUAUGGUAGGGGCACUCUUCCGAGGGAAAUGAACUGUAGGAAGAGACAGGUGUAUACCUGUAGAUAGAUGAUUACCACCCUAAGUACGAGGCGUGAGCCGUUUGAGUACACGGGAACAAAACAUGGCUUAUCGAA